UGGGGAAUAUUGGACAAUGGGGGGAACCCUGAUCCAGCAAUGCCGCGUGUGUGAAGAAGGCCUGAGGGUUGUAAAGCACUUUCAGUGGGGAGGAGGAUUGGUUGGUUAAGAGCUGAUUGAUUGGACGUUACCCACAGAAGAAGCACCGGCUAACUCCGUGCCAGCAGCCGCGGUAAUACGGAGGGUGCGAGCGUUAAUCGGAAUUACUGGGCGUAAAGGGUGCGUAGGUGGUUGUAUAAGUUAUCUGUGAAAUCCCCGGGCUUAACCUGGGCAGGUCAGAUAAGACUGUAUGACUCGAGUAUAGGAGAGGGUAGUGGAAUUUCCGGUGUAGCGGUGAAAUGCGUAGAGAUCGGAAGGAACACCAGUGGCGAAGGCGGCUACCUGGCCUAAUACUGACACUGAGGCACGAAAGCGUGGGGAGCAAACA
rnacentral:rRNA from 1 species